rnacentral:rRNA from 1 species
CCUACGGGAGGCAGCAGUGAGGAAUAUUGGGCAAUGGGCGAAAGCCUGACCCAGCAACGCUGCGUGAGGGAAGAAGCUCUACGGAGUGUAAACCUCUGUUAGGAGGGACGAAUGUUGUAAUGGUAAAUAAUCAUUAUGAAGAGACGGUACCUCCAAAGAAAGCCCCGGCUAACUCCGUGCCAGCAGCCGCGGUAAUACGGGGGGGGCAAGCGUUGUCCGGAAUUACUGGGCGUAAAGGGCGUGUAGGCGGAUAGGUCAGUCGAGGGUGAAAUCCUACAGCUUAACUGUAGAAUUGCCUUUGAUACUGCUUAUCUUGAGUUCGGGAGAGGGAAGCGGAAUUCCUGGUGUAGCGGUGAAAUGCGUAGAUAUCAGGAAGAACACCGGUAGCGAAGGCAGCUUCCUGGCCCGAUACUGACGCUGAAGCGCGAAAGCGUGGGGAGCAAACAGGAUUAGAUACCCUGGUAGUCCACGCCGUAAACGAUGGGUACUAGGUGUUGGUUUCGCCUCGGCGGAAUCAGUGCCGCAGCUAACGCAUUAAGUACCCCGCCUGGGGAGUACGGUCGCAAGGCUGAAACUCAAAUGAAUUGACGGA